ACUUGGAGGAACGAAUAGCAAUAGCUAAUUGCACCAAAUUAUGGUACAAUAUCGACUUUGUCGAAUAAAGUUCUAGGUAGAAUUAUGAUAAUGACAUUGUCUACCUAUGUGUCUUGACCAAAUUACGUGCCAGCAGUCGCGGUAAUACGUAAAAGACUAGUGUUAUUCAUCUUUAAUAGGUUUAAAGGGUACCUAGACGGUAAAUCAAGCCAUAGUAGGGACUAGUUUACUAGAGUUACUUAUGAGGGGGCAUUAAAGUACUAAAGGUGUAGAGAUAAAAUUCUGUCAUACCUGUUUUCGAGGGAAAAACAACGGCACUGAUAUAGGCGAAAGCAUCUCCUUAUGUGAUAACUGACGUUGAGGGACGAAGGCUUUGUGUAGCGAAUAGGAUUAGAUACCCUAGUAGUCGAAGCAGAAAAUGAUGAGUGUCAUAGAUUAGAUAAUUGUUUAUUCUAUAAAUGAAAGUGUAAGCACUCCACCUCAAGAGUAAUUUGGCAACAUUGGAACUGAAAUCAUUAGACCGUUUCUGAAACCAGUAGUGAAGUAUGUUGUUUAAUUUGAUAAUCCGCAAAAAACCUUACCACAACUUGAAUGUUUAUUUGUAUAAAUACAAGCGUUGCACGGCUGUCUUCAGUUAAUGUCGCGAGACCAUGGUUAGUUCCAUUAAAUUAACGUAAACCCUAACUUUAUUUUUAAAUAAAGUUGUUCUCCAUUAUAUUGGAUAAGAUAACA
rnacentral:rRNA from 1 species